UGGGGAAUUUUGGACAAUGGGGGGCAACCCUGAUCCAGCAAUGCCGCGUGUGUGAAGAAGGCCUUCGGGUUGUAAAGCACUUUUGUCCGGAAAGAAAAACGUCGUGGUUAAUACCCGUGGCGGCUGACGGUACCGGAAGAAUAAGCACCGGCUAACUACGUGCCAGCAGCCGCGGUAAUACGUAGGGUGCAAGCGUUAAUCGGAAUUACUGGGCGUAAAGCGUGCGCAGGCGGUCCGCUAAGACAGAUGUGAAAGUCCCCGGGCUUAACCUGGGAACUGCAUUUGUGACUGGCGGGCUAGAGUAUGGCAGAGGGGGGUAGAAUUCCACGUGUAGCAGUGAAAUUGCGUAGAGAUGUGGAGGAAUACCGAUGGCGAAGGCAGCCCCCUGGGCCAAUACUGACGCUCAUGCACG
rnacentral:rRNA from 1 species